rnacentral:rRNA from 1 species
GAUGAACGCUGGCGGCGUGCCUAAUACAUGCAAGUCGAGCGAACGGACGAGAAGCUUGCUUUUCUGAUGUUAGCGGCGGACGGGUGAGUAACACGUGGAUAACCUACCUAUAAGACUGGGAUAACUUCGGGAAACCGGAGCUAAUACCGGAUAAUAUUUUGAACCGCAUGGUUCAAAAGUGAAAGACGGUCUUGCUGUCACUUAUAGAUGGAUCCGCGCUGCAUUAGCUAGUUGGUAAGGUAACGGCUUACCAAGGCAACGAUGCAUAGCCGACCUGAGAGGGUGAUCGGCCACACGGGAACUGAGACACGGUCCAGACUCCUACGGGAGGCAGCAGUAGGGAAUCUGCCGCAAUGGGCGAAAGCCUGACGGAGCAACGCCGCGUGAGUGAUGAAGGUCUUCGGAUCGUAAAACUCUGUUAUUAGGGAAGAACAUAUGUGUAAGUAACUGUGCACAUCUUGACGGUACCUAAUCAGAAAGCCACGGCUAACUACGUG